GGCAGGCCUAACACAUGCAAGUCGAACGAACUCUUCGGAGUUAGUGGCGGACGGGUGAGUAACACGUGGGAACGUGCCUUUAGGUUCGGAAUAACUCAGGGAAACUUGUGCUAAUACCGAAUGUGCCCUUCGGGGGAAAGAUUUAUCGCCUUUAGAGCGGCCCGCGUCUGAUUAGCUAGUUGGUGAGGUAAAGGCUCACCAAGGCGACGAUCAGUAGCUGGUCUGAGAGGAUGAUCAGCCACAUUGGGACUGAGACACGGCCCAAACUCCUACGGGAGGCAGCAGUGGGGAAUCUUGCGCAAUGGGCGAAAGCCUGACGCAGCCAUGCCGCGUGAAUGAUGAAGGUCUUAGGAUUGUAAAAUUCUUUCACCGGGGACGAUAAUGACGGUACCCGGAGAAGAAGCCCCGGCUAACUUCGUGCCAGCAGCCGCGGUAAUACGAAGGGGGCUAGCGUUGCUCGGAAUUACUGGGCGUAAAGGGAGCGUAGGCGGACAUUUAAGUCAGGGGUGAAAUCCCGGGGCUCAACCUCGGAAUUGCCUUUGAUACUGGAUGUCUUGAGUGUGAGAGAGGUGUGUGGAACUCCGAGUGUAGAGGUGAAAUUCGUAGAUAUUCGGAAGAACACCAGUGGCGAAGGCGACACACUGGCUCAUUACUGACGCUGAGGCUCGAAAGCGUGGGGAGCAAACAGGAUUAGAUACCCUGGUAGUCCACGCCGUAAACGAUGAUUGCUAGUUGUCGGGAUGCAUGCAUUUCGGUGACGCAGCUAACGCAUUAAGCAAUCCGCCUGGGGAGUACGGUC
rnacentral:rRNA from 1 species